rnacentral:rRNA from 2 species
ACGUUCCCGGGCCUUGUACACACCGCCCGUCACACCACGAGAGUUUGUAACACCCGAAGUCGGUGAGGUAACCUUUUUGGAGCCAGCCGCCUAAGGUGGGAUAGAUGAUUGGGGUGAAGUCGUAACAAGGUAGCCGUAUCGGAAGGUGCGGCUGGAUCACCUCCUUU